rnacentral:rRNA from 1 species
AUUGAACGCUGGCGGCAGGCUUAACACAUGCAAGUCGAGCGGGGUGAUGGUGCUUGCACUAUCACUUAGCGGCGGACGGGUGAGUAAUGCUUAGGAAUCUGCCUAUUAGUGGGGGACAACAUCUCGAAAGGGAUGCUAAUACCGCAUACGUCCUACGGGAGAAAGCAGGGGAUCACUUGUGACCUUGCGCUAAUAGAUGAGCCUAAGUCGGAUUAGCUAGUUGGUGGGGUAAAGGCCUACCAAGGCGACGAUCUGUAGCGGGUCUGAGAGGAUGAUCCGCCACACUGGGACUAAGAAACGGCCCAGACUCCUACGGGAGGCAGCAGUGGGGAAUAUUGGACAAUGGGGGGAACCCUGAUCCAGCCAUGCCGCGUGUGUGAAGAAGGCCUUAUGGUUGUAAAGCACUUUAAGCGAGGAGGAGGCUCUUUUGGUUAAUACCCAAGAUGAGUGGACGUUACUCGCAGAAUAAGCACCGGCUAACUCUGUGCCAGCCGCCACUGUAA